rnacentral:miRNA from 1 species
AGUGAGUGUGGAUUUGGCGGGG